AAGACCUAGCGGCGAACGGUCGCGUAACACGUAAGCAACCUGCCCUAAAGUUGGGGAUAGCCCGCCGAAAGGCGGAUUAAUACCGAAUGUGGAUAUGUAUUCGCAUGUAUAUAUAUCUGAAGCAGCGAUGCGCUUUAGGAUGGGCUUGCGGCCUAUCAGUUAGUUGGUGUGGGUAACGGCCCACCAAGACGACGACGGGUAGCUGGUCUGAGAGGAUGGUCAGCCGGAUUGGGACUGAGACACGGCCCAGACUCCUACGGGGGGCAGCAAUUAGGAAUCUUGCGCAAUGGGCGAAAGCCUGACGCAGCGACGCCGCGUGACUGAUGAAGUCUUUCGAGAUGUAAAGGUCUUUUGUGGGGGACGAAGGAAGUGACGGUACCCCACGAAUAAGCCCCGGCUAACUACGUGCCAGCAGCCGCGGUAAUACGUAGGGGGCGAGCGUUGUCCGAAUUCACUGGGCGUAAAGCGCGCGUAGGCGGGUUUUUAAGUUGUGGGUGAAAUUCCGAGGCUCAACCUCGGAACUGCCUGCAAAACUGGGAGCCUUGAGGUAUGGAGAGGGAAGUGGAAUUCCUGGUGUAGCGGUGAAAUGCGUAGAUAUCAGGAGGAACACCCGUGGCGAAGGCGGCUUCC
rnacentral:rRNA from 1 species